UGGGGAAUCUUGCACAAUGGGCGAAAGCCUGAUGCAGCGACGCCGCGUGCGGGAUGAAGGCCUUCGGGUUGUAAACCGCUUUCAGCAGGGACGAGGCCGCAAGGUGACGGUACCUGCAGAAGAAGCCCCGGCUAAAUACGUGCCAGCAGCCGCGGUAAUACGUAUGUCACGAGCGUUAUCCGGAUUUAUUGGGCGUAAAGCGCGUCUAGGUGGUUAUGUAAGUCUGAUGUGAAAAUGCAGGGCUCAACUCUGUAUUGCGUUGGAAACUGUAUAACUAGAGUACUGGAGAGGUAAGCGGAACUACAAGUGUAGAGGUGAAAUUCGUAGAUAUUUGUAGGAAUGCCGAUGGGGAAGCCAGCUUACUGGACAGAUACUGACGCUGAAGCGCGAAAGCGUGGGGAGCAAACAGG
rnacentral:rRNA from 1 species